AGUUCCAUAGCUCAGCUGGUAGUAGCGCGAUCCUGAUAAGAUCGAGGUCGUUGGUUCGAAUCCAACUGGAACUACCA
rnacentral:tRNA from 1 species